GAAGACAGACCUGAGCUGCAAGAUUUUUUCAUAUGAUGAAAAGUGAAGACAUUUCCAGAACAUAAACUUGAAACUUAGGAAGCAAAACCAGCAAGUGGACUCCUGUAUACAUAUUCUGUGUAUGUUUGAACAGUGCAGGGAUUGAAUGAGUCAGUUCAGUCACUAUGGGAUUACUUUUUCAUGGCUUUUUGCUCAGACAACCAUGCAAAGGCAGAAGGAAAUCUGGGCUCUGAGGUUUCAUUCUGUGUGUUUGCAUUUAUCUCACGCUCCUCCAGCUCUUGUCGAUGGAGAUGUGGGAGUGGAGAACCAGCAGGUUGAAAAGUUCAAAAGCAUUCCAUCACA